rnacentral:rRNA from 1 species
CAGCAGCCACGGGAAUACGGAGGGUGCAAGCGUUAUCCGGAUUUAUUGGGUUUAAAGGGUCCGUAGGCGGACUUAUAAGUCAGUGGUGAAAGCCUGUCGCUUAACGAUAGAACUGCCAUUGAUACUGUAAGUCUUGAGUAUAUUUGAGGUAGCUGGAAUAAGUAGUGUAGCGGUGAAAUGCAUAGAUAUUACUUAGAACACCAAUUGCGAAGGCAGGUUACCAAGAUAUAACUGACGCUGAGGGACGAAAGCGUGGGUAGCGAACAGGAUUAGAUGCCCGCGUAGUCCCUGUCUCUUAUAC